CCCUGCCAUUUGUACACACCGCCCGUCGCUACUACCGAUUGAAUGGUUUAGUGAGUUUCAUGGACUGCUGGCUUGGGUUGGCUUGCCUUCCCCUGCCGGCGGGAAGUGACACAAACUUGACCAUUUAG
rnacentral:rRNA from 1 species